AUGCUCAUUGCUUCAUUGGGAUUCUCACUGGAUCCAAUCACACUGUCAAGCUUGGAUGGGAGGCCUGUCUCCUCACUUCUCCUCCUGCUCUCACAGCCACAACCACAACGUGAGAUGAGAGACAGCCACCCGCAGUCCGACACCCAAAAGGGUUACAACGGACAAGGUCAUUGGAUCUCCGAGGAUCGCACACCUCUUGACAGUCACUUGGGGUCGUGUGGAUGUUGAGAGUGAUAGUUAUUCACACUGCAACAUGUCACCAGCAGGGACUCCUCUUUAAAAAGGAUCGUGUUGAAUCCCGGUGAAGUUGUACUGCAUUGUCUCUCCAUAAUGCUUACAAUAGUAAGUGUGCUUCCAUAAGCCAAAGGUCUUUUGUCAGUGUUUCAGUCUCAGGACUCGGCGAGUCGUGAGUUCUCAGGAGAUUUGAUCCUUUUUAAAUCACAGUUGCCAAUAUGGUACUGUCAAAAUGUUUAUAACUUUGUUCCAAACAGUUUGUAUUUUUAUGU
rnacentral:lncRNA from 1 species